UGAAUACGAGACGCUAAGGCGUUGAAGUAGUGUAUGUCAUACUUCCAAGAAAAGCUUGCACUGUCAUAGAUAAAAAACGCCUGUACCAUAACCGACACAGGUGGGUAGGUAGAGUAUACUAAGGGGCGCGAGAUAACUCUCUCUAAGGAACUCGGCAAAAUAACUCCGUAACUUCGGGAGAAGGAGUGCCUUAUUUAUAAGGCUGCAAUAACAAGAUCCAAGCAACUGUUUAUCAAAAACACAGGUCUCCGCUAAGUCGUAAGACGAUGUAUGGGGGCUGACGCCUGCCCAGUGCCAGAAGGUUAAAGAAGUUGGUUAGCAAUAGCGAAGCUGAUAACUGAAGCCCUGGUGAACGGCGGCCGUAACUAUAACGGUCCUAAGGUAGCGAAAUUCCUUGUCGGGUAAGUUCCGACCCGCACGAAAGGCGUAAUGAUUUGGAUACUGUCUCGGAGAGGGGCUCGGUGAAAUAGACUUGUCUGUGAAGAUGCGGACUACCUGCACCAGGACAGAAAGACCCUAUGAAGCUUUACUGUAACUUGAAAUUGAAAUUGGACUUUAUUCGCGCAGUAUAGGUGGGAGGCGUUGAUUGUAAUCUUGCGGGAUUAUUGGAGCCAUCAGUGAGAUACCACCCUUGUAAUGUUAGAUUUCUAACUUUGAAUCAUUAUCUGGUCAAAGAACAGUUUCAGGCGGGCAGUUUGACUGGGGCGGUCGCCUCCUAAACGGUAACGGAGGCGUACAAAGGUUUCCUCUGAACGGUUAGAAAUCGUAUCUAGAGUGUAAAGGCAUAAGGAAGCUUGACUGUGAGACCUACAAGUCGAGCAGGGACGAAAGUCGGUCUUAGUGAUCUGACGGUACUGAGUGGAAAGGCCGUCACUCAACGGAUAAAAGUUACUCUAGGAUAACAGGCUGAUCUCCCCCAAGAGUUCACAUCGACGGGGAGGUUUGGCACCUCGAUGUCGGCUCAUCGCAUCCUGGGGCGGUAGUACGUCCCAAGGGUUGGGCUGUUCGCCCAUGAAAGCGGUACGCGAGCUGGGUUCAGAACGUCGUGAGACAGUUCGGUCCAUAUCCGGUGUAGGCGUUAGAAUAUUGAGAGGAGCCUUCUUUAGUACGAGAGGACCGAGAAGGACAUACCUCUGGUGUACCAGUUAUCGUGCCAACGGUAAACGCUGGGUAGCUAUGUAUGGAGUGGAUAACCGCUGAAAGCAUCUAAGUGGGAAGCCCACCUCAAGAUAAG
rnacentral:rRNA from 1 species